GACGAACGCUGGCGGCGUGCUUAACACAUGCAAGUCGAACGGAAAGGCCCUGCUUUUGUGGGGUGCUCGAGUGGCGAACGGGUGAGUAACACGUGAGUAACCUGCCCUUGACUUUGGGAUAACUUCAGGAAACUGGGGCUAAUACCGGAUAGGAGCUCCUGCUGCAUGGUGGGGGUUGGAAAGUUUCGGCGGUUGGGGAUGGACUCGCGGCUUAUCAGCUUGUUGGUGGGGUAGUGGCUUACCAAGGCUUUGACGGGUAGCCGGCCUGAGAGGGUGACCGGCCACAGGGGGACGGAGAUCGGCCCGAGUCCCCUGGGGGGGGGAGGAGGGGGAAAUAUUGCACAGGGGGGGGAACCGUGGUGGAGCAACCCCGCGCGGGGGAUGGGGGCCUUGGGGUUGAAAACCGUUUUCGCGUGUCGCGAAGCGUGUGUGGGGAAAAUGUAUAAAAAAGCCGCGGCAAAAUAUG
rnacentral:rRNA from 1 species